UGCCUGCAUCUUGGUCUUGGACUUCUCAGCCUCCAGAAAUCUAAAACCCCUGAGUUUUAACUGGACACAUGACCACCCAGCCACAGAUUACAUUUCCCCGGCUCCAUUGCAGCUAGCUGUGACCAUGUGACUCAGUGUGGCCCAGUGGAGUGUGAGCAGAUAUGAUGCAUACUACAACCAGGUCUUCUUAAAGAUACUUGCCCUGGACUCUUCUUCUUUCCCACUUCCCUUGGAUGUGGUGGUAAGCCACCAUCAACUAUGCUGAUGCUGCUAAUACACUAAGCCAGGGAGAACCAAAGGAAAGAAAGAACCAUUUCCUUAGAAGACCUUGAAUAGCAAAGCUGCUUGUCCUCCAGUUCUUGACCACUCACUACUUGACUGUUACAAAAGAGUGAAAUAAACUUCUGUCAUCUUA